AUUGAACGCUGGCGGCAGGCCUAACACAUGCAAGUCGAGCGGAUGAAGGGGGCUUUCUCCUGGAUGCAGCGGCGGACGGGUGGGUAAGUCCUAGGAAUCUGCCUGGUAGUUGAGGAUAACGUCAGGAAACGGGCGCUAAUACCGCAUACGUCCUUAGGGAGAAAGGGGUGGAUCUUCGGACCUCACGCUAUCAGAUGAGCCUAGGCCGUAUUAGCUAGUUGGUUGGGUAACGGCGUACCAAGGCGACGAUCCGUAACUGGUCUGAGAGGAUGAUCAGUCACACUGGAACUGAGACACGGUCCAGACUCCUACGGGAGGCAGCAGUGGGGAAUCUUGGACAAUGGGCGAAAGCCUGAUCCAGCCAUGCCGCGUGUGUGAAGAAGGUCUUCGGAUCGUAAAGCACUUUUAGUUGGGAGGAAGAGAAGUAAGUUAAUCCAUUGAUGUUUUGACGUUACCAACAGAAUAAGCACCGGCUAACUUCGUG
rnacentral:rRNA from 1 species